rnacentral:rRNA from 1 species
GAUGAACGCUGGCGGCGUGCUUAACACAUGCAAGUCGAGCGGAAAGGCGCGACGUUUGCGUCGUGCUCGUUUGGCGAAGGCGGGAGUGACACGUGUGUAACCUGCCCCUGACUGUCUGGUAACUCCUGGGAACUGGGGCUCUAAUCGCAUAGGAGCUUCUGCUGCGCGUGGGUGGUUGGAAAAUUUCGGCGGUUGGGGAUGGACUCGCGGCUUAUCAGCUUGUUGGUGUGGUAGUGGCUUACCAAGGCUUUGACGGGUAGCCUGCCUGGGAGGGUGACCGGCCACCUUGGGACUGCGAUACGGCCCAGAAUCCUACGGGACGCAGCAGUGGGGAAUAUUGCAGAAUGGGGGGAAGCCUGAUGCAGCAACGCCGCGUGCGGGAUGCCGGCCUUCGGGUUGUAAACCGCUUUCGCCUGUGACGAAGCGUGAGUGACGGUAAUGGGUAAAGAAGCACCGGCUAACUACGUG